GUACAUUUGAUGCGAAACAGUGUUGUGUGUUGUUUCGAAAGAGAGCCAUGCGCACUGCAUGCUGCUGAUGGGCACGUGCUGCCAUUGUACUUGUGUGUGCUGUGUAUUGUGUUGUGUGCUGUGUGUUGUGUGAGCAACGUUGCGUUGUUUGCACGCACACAUGCACAUGCAUGCACGCACAAACUACAAUGGUGGUGCGGGUUUUGUUGGCAGAGCAGGUUGUUGUCACUGGCACUCACUGAAAACAGCACACACAUUGCGUCAUUGCAUUGAAUGUCACUGCUUCAUCCACACACCUUUUUGUGUGUGUGUGUCUGGGGUUGUUGUUGUGUGCAUAGCCACAAGAACAAAACCAAAAAGAAAAACAGAACGACCCGAGUGGCACGUGCAGCGAUGUGCGUGUUGCUUGUGGAAGCUUCGUUUGUUGGGUGCAGGAGGAGGAGUGAGUGUACAAAACUGAGGGGAAGAAGAAGGGAAGAUGCAUAGCAUGCAGUCAUUGCACUGUUGUGUGUUUCUUCCCUCCCUUUUCGCUUUGCUUGUCUCUCGCUUAUCUCUUCUGAAUCCUCGACAGCCAUAGCUGGGCGGCAGCUGUGGUGUGUUGUGCGUGUGUGUUGUGUGUGCAUUGUGAUGUGUUGUGUAUUGUGUGUGCAUUGUGUGUGGGCUUACAAGCUACACACAUUCACACACAUCCACACACAUUCACGUGCAUCUACAUACACGCACAUCAAAUACACACCACAACUGCCACUGCCGCUUCUAUGGAGAGAUAACUGGUCGAUCCUGCCAG